rnacentral:guide_RNA from 1 species
AUAAAACAACACUAUCAUAAGAAUAGACAGUGAGAUAUAAGUAAA